rnacentral:rRNA from 1 species
GGGUCAGUAGGUUGGUCGUGCCACCGGUACGUACUGGUCUCACUGAUUCCUCCUUCCUGAAGAACCGUAAUGCCAUUAUUUUGGUGUUGCGGGGAAACAGGACUGUUACUUUGAAAAAAUUAGAGUGUUUAAAGCAAGCUAACGCUUGAAUACAUUAGCAUAGAAUAAUGAAAUAGGACGAUCGAUCCUAUUUUGUUGGUUUCUAGGAUUGACGUA